AGCGAUAAAUUGCGAUGAAUGUAAAAGAUUUUCAUAAAGAUUAUCGUAAAUACAAUUGUACACUAAUUAUUUCAUUUUAUGUAUUUUUAAUUAAUAUUUCUUUUCAGAUUUUUCAAAUUUAUUUAAUUUUUAUAUAUUUUUUUUAUAUGUUUUAUUCUAUUUUAAUUUAUUUAAAUUGUUAUCUAAUAUUAUAGUAAUUUAUAAUUAAUUUAUAUUACAGUAGUCUUCAAUUCUCGCGCGGUUUAAGUAAAUAAAGAAUCGCGCCGAUAUUCCAGCCAAUUAGAAGCAACUUAGAUGAACCUAUAGCAUGCGACAUUUAUCUGCCGAAAAUCAUAGUGACAGGAUGCGUCAUAGAUUCGAGCAGUUUGAUUUCUAUUACGCAGUUAUUAAUCGAUUAUUGAUGUAAAUCAAUUUCGAAGGAAAAAUGCAACAUGGAUGCCAAUAUGUCUUUUUAUGGAAACGCGAUAUUUUUCAGUUUUUAUGAUGAUUUUUCAUCACCCAUAUUGAUGUCAAUGUAGAUUCCUCGCAUCUAUUGGAGAAAAUAUAUUUCCGAUACAAUCCUGGAGGAGGAUGAGUAAAAAUCGCGACGAACGAGAGAUCGGACGGCACGUGGCGGGGGUCGAAGACAAACCCUUCGUCGGCUCAAGGUUGGCCCGGGAACGUGGCCGGAAACCGCAAGGUGCGGUGUGUGGCGCGGAAGGAUUCCACGUGGUGAUCCAGCGCGGCCAGGGAAAAGGCCGAGUUGAGCCGAAUUGAACGUCGAGGGCGGAACGCUCGAGCUCCCUCGUCGAAAAUAUUUCUCGACUCAAGGUGGAAAAGGCCGUUUAGAGAGAGCCGCUGCGAAGAGAAGAAGACGAGAGAGAUGGAGCCGAUGCAUCGUCCUGUUAAAACUCUUUCUCCACCCAGUGGAAUCUAUUCUACAGGAUGUCUAGCUCGCCGUUUGUCCUCAGAAAUGUAACGAGGAAAUUUGCCAUCGGAGGUGGAGGAGCGAGGCGCAGCUCCACCACCGACCGACGCCAUUUUCGGAAUGCCGCUCGUCUCCGGAAGCUGUCGCGCCAAUAAAUCAAGAGACAUCUGCGACUUGUGAGACACCUUACUGCGAGCUCCGUCGUCACGUACGUCGGAACCUCCUCUUCGACCACCCUUUUCUUUCCACCUUUCCGCCUCCUCCCUCCGUCCUCCCUCCUCUCUUUCCAAUCUCUCGCUUUCACUCUCUCGCCCUCCACGUCGGUCGAAACUAAUAUUAUAGCUACUCCUCUCGGGCCGGUAUGCUUUCACGAGAGGUAAACCGGCGGCAUCAUUCGGUAUCGAGGAUCGAAGCGAGACGGCGAAAAGAAGUUUCAAGUGGGUUGCUUCUGAUAUACUCGGGCUAUGCGAUUGAAACCAGAGUUGUUGAUAAUGUAAACGCCGACGAAGUUAGUUCCUCCCUAUUCCCCGCUGGUUAUCGAAUCCGUUGCAGUUUAACUUCUUAACGAUCGAUACCCCGCUCACUGUUCGAGGAUCGUCCUCCCCGUGUUACGCCGAUUGCUUUUUCGCCGAUACCAAUCCCGCAAACUUUGUAAUAUCGAAAUUUCGAUCGGCCAAAUUUUAAACCGCGAGUUCCCAGUUUCUUCUUCCACCGCGCGUCCAUCGACGAGGAAAACAUCGCGAAUAUGAAUAUUUCACUCGCGUGACUUUUGCGUGGCCGGCACAGAUUGCACGAUUUUCUUUCCCUUUGGUACACAACGGGUCGGCUUGUUCAAUCUUCCAUGUUUCCAACGACUUUAGAUUGAAACCGCCCUCUCCCCGUUCCCCCCUGUUUAUACACAUCGACGAAGCAGGUGCAGGUGCAAUCACACAGCCUUGGCCGUGUCUUGGUCGCUAAUGAUCAAUUCACCUUGGCGCGAGAGGGACGGAGACGGAUGGAUAAAAUUUGGCCGAGCAACUCUCUCCGGAGCGAGCUUUGGGAAAUUGAAAUCGUUUAAUCCCAAGUAUAUUCCCGACCGGCCUUCGCCACGGUCUCGUAACUAUCUUCGUUGUUCAACUUUCGACGCUCGAAACUUGCUUCAUCUCUCUUUCUCUCCACCCUCCCCUUCCUUCUCCUUCCUCUCGUUCCUCCACGAUAUUUCGCCACCCUUAGGAAGAAAUUUCGCGUCUUACGGUGCCUUCAAACUUGGCCAACGCUUUUAUUACAUCGGGUGGAUGGUAAGUAAUUAAGAAUCAAAUAGAUCGUUCCGAUUAUCCGUCUCCGUCUUCUUGCUUUCGACGAGAAGAGCGCGAAAGAAGUCACGUUGAUUCACGAUUCCUUUCGUCCAACACAGGACGAGCAUCGAGUGUCCAACUUGGAAAGGGUCGAAAAAUCUAAUACGUUUACUGCAAAAUUAGACUUUGAAGAAUUUUUAGUUUUGAAAUUCUCGCGAUUGUUCCGUACGAGGGAAUGAGAAAAACUAGAUGAGACGCUGGAAAUUUUUCAAUCAUCGAGAAUCGAUCGACGGAAAGGGAGAGAGGGGAAAAUUUCGUAAACAACGCAGCGAAAAUUCAAGCACGAUUCGACGAAUCGCGGAUAGGUACGAUUCUCGUAGCUUUCGGUUUAAAGGGGGAGAAGGGGGGAAUUUAAGCGAGCCUCGGGUUCGGUUGUUUAUUUCGAGAAAGCCGGUUACGAGCGGCAAUUAACGGAAUGUUCUCUAAUACGAAUGUAAACAGUCCGGCAUUUGGGCGGAACACCGCGUUUCGAUGUAUACUCGGUUGCUCGGCCUUCAAUUUUGCAUCGGUCCACUAGCGGCCGUUCCAUUUCUCUGCGCGUAGAAACGAGCGCACAGAGGUUGCGUUUGCAAUUCUCGCGGAUUUUACGAGACAAUGGAAUCUUGGUGGAGAAGCACGCGAGACUGGCCCGUAAAUCCACACCCGAACCGAUUCGACGAAAUCCAGUUGAAACAUCUCCUCUCCGCGCCGCGUUUACAUCAAAGGAAGUCGGUUUAUACGUUGUUUCCAGGUUGAUUCGUCGAUUUCGUUGGCCGAGAGAGGUGGCUACGUUACGAGACACGUUGCAGCCGCCAACGCUCCCAACGUGCAAUCGAAUCACGACGAGAAAUUUGGCGAUGCACACGAGUUCGCCUCGUCGGAAAUACGAUAUCGAUUAACGUCCACGGAUUAUACGCGAGGAAAACGAAGGAUCGAUCGAUAUUCGAUAACUCUAUCUCCCGUGGAGCGACAUGGAGCGGAAGAUAUCGCGUUCGAACAGGGAAACAUACACCGCAUAAUACUGGAAAUUAACCGUUCGUUUCGUUGGCCAUCUCGUGGCGAGGCGAUCCUGGCGAAACGUGACGCGAAUACUUUUUUCCCAUCCCUCGCAAUUAUUUCACUCGCAUCAAAAGUGAAAACAGAAGCGCAAUUCGGAAGAUCGGUUGGUUUCAUAAGUGAAUUUCGCGAAUGUCGGCCCGGAUGCGAUAACAAAUCGCUGGUAUCGACGGAGGCCGGUCGUUUCGGAAAUACGAAGGAGGAUCGCCAACAGCGUACAUGGGAUGGAAAAUCAAUCGCCUCCGCUUCCCAGGCGUCCCAUCUUCUUCUCGACCAUAUCCGAUACCUUCCAACGUUCCGAAUAAAUAUAACGCUCGACUCGCGUCACUUUUUCCACCAUCGGUAUAAAGCCGAAAUAAAUUAUGCAAGCCGAUCUUUCUUCCCCUCCUCCCCCACCUGCGUUGUACAACCGCGGACAUACACCCUUUCUAUUUUUACCACCGCGUCGUCCAUUUUACUCGCGUCUAUUCGACUCGCGAGUCGUUCUUCGUAGACGUCGUUUUCGCGUCCCGUUUCGUUACAACGUUACGUCCGUUUCCAGCGCAGCAAAGGAAUAAAAAGUGUAGUUGCCCGAAAUUUGUGGGGAAUUUAUACGGCGACCGUAAAUCACGGGAAGAGAGGCGAUAUAAGGAUACACGAGAUCGAAGGUGAGAGAUGGAAUGGGCGGAUUUUAUUUAGCUUACGAAAACGAUUAUACCGACAUUUUAUUACCGUCUAUACUUCACCCCUGCAAAUCCUCCCUCCGAGGGAGAGGAUUCUCUCCAACGCAGCGUGGAAAAUCGGUUAAAAAUCGGUCAACAAACCGGAAGGACAAAUCGAAUUCUGUGGCCAAAGGAGGACCAAAGGACCCGUGUACGAUGGGAUACACGAAAGAAACGGUAACAAACGGAGUUGGCGCGCGAAUGGACAUAAUCUGUUUAAUGCUCGCAGGUCCA